GGCGGACGGGUGAGUAACGCGUAGGAAUCUGCCUAGUAGAGGGGGACAACAUGUGGAAACGCAUGCUAAUACCGCAUACGCCCUACGGGGGAAAGGAGGGGAUCUUCGGACCUUCCGCUAUUAGAUGAGCCUGCGUAAGAUUAGCUAGUUGGUAGGGUAAAGGCCUACCAAGGCGACGAUCUUUAACUGGUCUGAGAGGAUGGCCAGUCACACUGGGACUGAGACACGGCCCAGACUCCUACGGGAGGCAGCAGUGGGGAAUAUUGGACAAUGGGCGGAAGCCUGAUCCAGCCAUGCCGCGUGUGUGAAGAAGGCCUUAGGGUUGUAAAGCACUUCCAGGAGUGAGGAAGGGCGUUUGGUUAAUACCCAAAUGUUUUGACGUUAGCUCCAGAAGAAGCACCGGCUAACUCUGUGCCAGCAGCCGCGGUAAUACAGAGGGUGCAAGCGUUAAUCGGAAUUACUGGGCGUAAAGCGCGC
rnacentral:rRNA from 1 species